CAGGAUUUCACUGGAACUGGAAGGUGUUGAAGACAGGAAGUACUCCUGGGUUUCUUCACCCAGCUGAAUGCCUAGUUCCUGGUCUUAUUACACGGCUUACAUUCAGGAUAAGAAGAGGCGUUUGGAGCUUUACGCAUGACCUCUUAGCAGCGGUUUCUGUUCAGGAGCGAAGAGGUAAAAAGAAAGCAGUGUCUACUAAGUCCUUUUCCAAGAGUCUCAGGAAAUUCUCACGAAGACCCUCUCAGGACAUGCUAAAUACAGAAAAUAUCCUGCAAGCACUGGAUCAACUCUUAUCCAGAAAUGGAAAACACCCAGGAGGAUUUUGCUACACCAGCUCCCCCUUCCACUCCCCUAAUCCUAAUCGUAAACCCAAAUUCACCCUGUGAGGACAGAAGACAUGACUGGGAGUGACAGACUCUCCUGCGAGGGACAGGGUCAGAGACGGAGGAAGCGAGGGCUUUCAGGCGAGGUGAAUUCUGAAGUCUCCUGAUGAUCAAACAGAAAGCCCUGGAUGAUCAGAGGUACAAGAGAGUGAGGGGGCUGGCAUUCCCACAGUGGCCAUAGGCUGGCUGAGGGGGUCCUACUGUCCCUGGAGCUAUUGGUCAAAAUAUUUUUCCUUAAAAGCUGCAUCUUUCCAGUUAACUUCCUCUAUGUUCAGUCCAGGAAAAGGUGUAGCAUGCAAAGGGUACGUUUUCCAGCAGAGCAACAAGUGGAAGGAAGUGGUAGUGGCAUAUCAGGGAAAGAGAAUCUUCUAGAGGCACAUGAGUUACCUAGUGAACUGCAUGUGGUGUCCAGCCUUCCUCCUUUAUCUGUAGACAUGUACUUGCAGGAGAUGUUUGAGGAGUAACUUCAUGGACCCUUACAAAAUUCUCGCUGGUCAU